rnacentral:lncRNA from 1 species
NNGAGGAUAAGCCGGAGGGCGGCGCGUGCGCGGGCGUGAAGGAGGACCUGGGCGCAUGUCUGCUGCAGUCGGACUGUGUGCUCCAGGUAGCGCAGCCGGGCGCUCGGGGUGAUGAGACGCUGGAACCGGAGAGGCAGGGCCCGGCCAAGGUUUCCCGGUCAGCCUGCGGUGGUGGUCAGGAGACGGGACCCAGAGUUAGAAGUCGUAGGUGUAGAUCACAGCUCCAGUUUAAUGAACCUGGGCACAUCCGCUGUCGGAGCUUCAGCUCCCUCCGGUGUUAAAUUGGAGAUAAGAAAACCACCUCUUUGGAUUUUUGUAAAGAUAAACGAUUUCGGUUCAAGAAACAUGUAUUAGAUGCUGCCUGCCACUGCUAGCUUCAGGAGAUAUAAAGGAGAAUGAGACAGGUUUCUUGCGUAUUAGGAAAUGAGACUCUAAAUUAACAGAGAAUUACAUAAACCUGGUACACUGUAUUGACUAGCAGUUUCUCCUUUCUCUGUUACGUUAUGGCUGAAUAUAUGUUAUAUUUACUUUCUCUUGGUUUGGGUUUGUUUCUGAAUUGGAGUUCGAUACGUUCUUGGAUAAGUUGUAAACGAAGCAGCUCCAUUUUCCCACUAUUCUGUAUCUUGCUUCCACUACAUUCCCCUCACUACAGCCACGUCUUCUCAAUCUUAGUGUAGUGAGGCAAGCAGUGAGGUCCAAAGUUAACUGGGGACCUGGGUAAUUUGCUCUUAUUUCAAAGGAAAGACAACUGCCCCCAAAUGGAUAUCCAUCAUAAAGCUGUUAUCAGUAUUUCUACUGAUUCAUGAUUUACAUUUGGUUCACUGAUUUUAGCAGUCAGUGAGACUGGUCACUCCGGUGUGUCGUAAAGCUUGAGUUGUUGUGAAUUUAAGAGGUUCUCUAGUCCAGCUCUCUUACACAGAUGAGGAAACUGAGGUGCCCUGUCCAGGGCUGUUUCCAAUCUGCUGCUUCAUUGGUGCAGAUAUUCAGCCAGCUCUUAGUAAACGCCUGGUAAGUGGCAGGCAUGAUGCCAUGCACUGGUGACACAAAGAUGAAUUGUUUCAGUCACUACCUUAAAUGAGUUUAGUCGGAUGGGAAGAACAGACAUGUAAGGAGCUAAAUUCCUGUAAUAAGGGCUGUGUAAGCAUUUAGUUAAUAUUUGUUUAAUGAUGAGAUUUGGAAACAAAAUGCUACAGGAGUCCAAUGAAGAGCAACUUAUUCUUGAGAAUUUGGAAACUUCUCACAGAAAAGGUGACAUUUGAUCUGAGUCUUAAAGUUGGAGUAGUAGAUUAUCAAGUAAAAGAGUCGGGAAUGUGGUGGUUGAGGAAAGAAGCUGAAAGAACAGCAUGGGCAAGUCAGAGAGAUGUGACCAAGAGAAGCUAGUGCCCUCUUAGGCCUGGGUGAUAGGGAAUGUGACAGAAAGCUUGAGAGGAAGACUGUCGUGUGAAAGCCCUUGUAUGUCAGAGUGAGGGCCCUAGAUUUUCUCCUGACCCUCAGCAUCAGAAGGCCAUAGAGAUGAGCAAUCAAGGGAAUAAAGUACACGAUGGGACUGAGAAAAGAAACUGUAGAGGAGGAAACUGAAGGCAAGGAGGAUACCAAGUUGCUUUUUUGCAAUAAUCCAUUUAUUUAGUCAGCAUUUGAGUGCCAAGCUCUAAUUCAGAGGAUAUACAGAUGAUUGGGAUACAUUCCCUCCUGUGUAGAAAUUAGAUCUCUGGAAAACUGGGCAGAGAUAAUGGCCAGGACACAUGGCACAGACUUUGCUUUCCCCAGCUGAAUAUGUGGCUCUAUUGAUGCUGGUCAAUUAAGAGAACAUGAUGUUUGUAAAAAAGUACUUUAAAUGGGAAUGUGUGUACAGUUUAUGUUAAAUUCAUCCUGACUUCAAGAGGAGUGUAAAAGGGCAGUAUUGAGGCAAAACAUUGAGGUCUGUAGAUAAGAGGACAAUAUCCUACCUUUUCAGAUAGUAUCAUUGGCAGCUACAGCCUACCAUGCCCCUCCUAGGGACUCUGAAGACCAAGGGACAUUCUGCUGAGGUCUGUGUCUGCCCUGAAUGACCUCAUUUAUGAUAAAAUUUAGCUCCUUGUAUAAAGUUAAUCUGAUCUUCUGGCAGAUGGAUGCUGUAGUCUUCCUUGCCAAUCUUUAACCCACUGGAAAAGCUGCUGGACCUGACUCUUAGGAGGAAUUCAAAAUAAAUAUUUAGUGCUACAAUGGGAAAUAGUCAAGGAACUAUAGGGUUUGAGAGAAGCUCAGGGUAAUGGGGGUGAGGAUGUCAACCCCUGUGGGGCUGGAAAGGAGAAGCAAGGAAAAAGCAGAUUCAAAAGGCAGCUCUUGGAUAGACUUCUUAGGAUUUUAUGACUCCUGGGGGAUCAAAAAGGUUGAAACUAUGCUCAAGAAACCUGAAUCACAGGUUAUCUCCUGUGUGUCUCCAUUAACAAGCUCUCAGACCUGCUGACUUAAUCAGAAUUACCUGGAGAUGGGGCAGAGAGCUUAAAAGUAUAGAUCCCACUGCUCCUCCUACCCCUAUAAAAGUAUCCCACGUUGAUUCUUGGGCACAGCCAUGUUUGGGAAUCACUGAUCUUUUAGUUUUUUUUUUUUAACAUUUAUUCAUUUUUUGAGAGACAGAGUGUGAGUGGGGGAGGGGCAGAGAAAGAGGGAGACACAGAAUCUGAAGCUGGCACCAGGCUCUGAGCUGUCAGCACAGAGCCCAAUGCGGGGCUUGAACCCACGGACUGUGAGAUCAUGACCCGAGCCGAAGUCAGUCACUUAACCGACUGAGCCACCCAGGCGCCCCAGGAAUCACUGAUCUUGCCCUCAGAAGGUAAAUAAACUUGGGAGUGUAUUAGUUAGGAUAUAGGUUCGGGUAGAUGGUACAGAUAUCCAAAAUAACAUUGGCUUGAACAAGAUAGGAAAUUCUCUUUGGGGUGCCUGGGUGGCUCAGUCAGUUAAGCGUCCGACUUCUGCUCAGGUCAUGAUCUCUCGAUUUGUGAGUUCAAGCCCCGCGUCAGGCUCUGUGCUGACAGCUCAGAGCCUGAAGCCUGCUUCAGAUUCUGUGUCUCCCCGUCUCUCAGCCCCUCCCAUCCUUACGCUCUGUCUCUCAAUAAUAAAUAAACGUUAAAAAUUAAAAAAAAAAAAAAAAAGAUAGAAAAUUCUCUUUUGCUCUUUGUGUGUGCCUGUAAAUAGGUCCUGGACAGCUCCCCUCAGCCUUCCAUAGACCCAGACACUGUUGAUCUUGUGGUUUUAGGUGCUGUGAUGGGAGACAGGAUGUUAUUCUCACACGCGUGGUCCAAGAUUGCCUUCCUUCCAUAUCAUCAGGCCAUGACGUGAUGAUGUGAAGUGAUAAGAGGGGGCAAGUCACUUGCCUUUAAGGACCAAUGCAGAAGAUUUACAUUUCAGUUCCUCACAUAUUCUAGUGGCUAGAACUUAGUCAUAUGACCACACCCAGUUGCAAGGGUGGCUGGGAAAUCUAGCGCAGCCAUAUGCCUCACAAGAAAGGAAGAGUUAAAUGUUAAGGGACAACUGGCAGUCUGCCAUUUGGUGUAGAGGUGAAGGAGGAUGAAUUAACCUGUCUCUAUCUCUCUCAGAAUAAGAUGGAUCUUUCCAUUAGGCAGUUGGCAGUCUGGCAUGAAAGCUUAUGAAAAAGAUACCGUUUGGGGAAGCAUCAGUUUAGAGUUCUAGUCUUUGGUAUAGUUUUAUUUAUUCUUCUGUUUGCUGUCACAUCAUUCACAUGGGCAACAAACAUCCCAUCGGCAACAUCUUAUUACAGAGUUUUAGGGUGGAACACAGUGCACGGAAGCUUGCUACUCUGUUCUGAUUCACUUUUGUGAUUCACUGAUACAGAUGACAAUUAAAAUCUAGAACCUAAGCAGGCAGACAGACUAGAAAGUGGCAAGAUUCCCAAGAAUUGGGAAUGCCACAGAUAUGGUACCCUGUAGCAUUUUUCACAGUAAAAACAAGAAGGGCGACAUGGCACUUGCAAAAUAAAGGUUUGGAGGAGUGGUUGCAGUGGUAGGGUUGAGGUACCAAAAUCUGCUUGAAGGUAAACCCUGGAUGAUGAAGAGUUGGUGAAAUUGGGGUUACAUUUUCCCCAGUGCAUGAAUGCACCAGAUGUUUCUAUUUAAGUAGUAAGUAUUCUAAGUUCUUUAUUAACAUUCUAAGCGUUCAGUACCACACUAACAAUGUUCUGAUUUUAGGGCACCUAAUUCUGGCUGUUUGAGCUUUUAAAAUUAACACUGAGCCAGGGUCAUUUUAUUCUCAGACAAAAUUGCUUGACCCAUUUUACACUGGAACUCACCUUGAGUAGGAAGGUUUCAUCAUUUUCCUUUAUAUUGCCAAGCACUGCAUGAGGCUAAUGUUUAUAAGCAGUGUAUGUUUUAUUUCUUUAAUAGGUAAUCAUAAUGUUAAGGUUUUGAUUUUUUUUCUUCACAAAUUGUGUAUCACAGUUUGAUGUAAUUAAAGCUCAGGUAAUUCAGAAAAUUUAAGUCCUGUCAACUUUUUCCAGAUGUUGUUUUAUAUAUUUACAUUCCUGGGAAACAGAACCCCUUUAGCACCUCUCCCUGUUACCCUCUGGCACUUCUCUAUGUGACACGCCACUCUGCCGGUUGGCAUUUGUACAUGUAUACCUUCUUUGCUACCUGGUUGUAAAAGCCCUGUCUGAGCAGGAAUAUCUAACAUUUUUUAACCUCCCACUGAACUGAUCUGGGGCCAUUCUGAAUAUUUUUUAAAGUAAAUUAGUUGUGAGGGCUUAGUUAAUAGACAAAUUAGUAAGAUAGGGCAUCCAAAAAGAGAAAUUUUGCUGCAAUUAAAUUUUAAUCUUGCCUCUUUGAAUUGUGAAGUAUAUAUAUUUUUAAAUGUCCAUUUAUCAAUUUUGACAGAGAAAGGCUGAGCAGGGGCUUGGCAGAGAAAGAGGGAGAGAGAACCCCAAGCAGGCCCCAUGCUGCCAGUGCAGAGCCCAAUGCCAGACUCAAUCCUAUGACCCAUGAGAUCGUGACCUGAGCUGAAAUCAAGAGUCAGACGCUUAACCUCCUAAGGCACCCAGGCGCCCCUGAAUUCUGAAGCACAUUAUUGAUGUUCUCUGUGUCCAGCAUAUUUAAAUGCCUUUGUGUUAAGUUAAACAUGUCUUUGUUAAAAAAUAUUUUAAGAUUAUGAAGAGGUAUUAAAAUUUUUGUUCCAUGUUUACCUUGAAAAACCCAUACUAAAUUCUAGCUCUCACCUAGUUUUGCAGAUGUAAUUUUGUCAAGUCUGAUUUUUAAUGCUUAUAGUUUAAAAAAUCUUAUUUAAGAAUCAAAAAUAAGUUUCUCCUGUGAGCAUUCUUAUAGGUGCUUCUUACCUUGGCAGGAAGGGAAUGGUUUAGUCCAGUUUGCUUCUUAGCCUUCUUUUAGCUUUCACUGCUUAAAGUUGGGUUCAUUUCACACCAGGCCCAGGCAGAUCUUUUCUCACAAAUAUGUCUCAAUUCUGUUAACAUCUCCCCUUCCUCUUCCGGUUCUAUGUGGUUGUGCUUCUGAAAUUAGAGAAUUUGACCGUUGGGUGGGGGGCAGGGAUGUGUUGGAGGUAAUCGUGCUUGCACUAAAAGGAUAUAUACCUGGAGGCUUUAAAGCCACUUGAUAGGUCUUUCCAGAACAAACCCAUUUCCCACUACAGCCGGCCUGAUCAAUUGUAUGUACAUGCAUGUGUACAUGUAUGCAUGUCCACUCAUCUAUCUUGAUGAGUUCUGGAGUGUAAAAAUUUUAGAAACACUGAAGGAAAAAAAAAUCAUUACUUUCACCUUUACUCUCUUACCCAUAAGGAGCUAAUAAUACUAGUUGCGAGAUAUAUAAAAAUUUGAAAGAAAAGUAUCUUAUGGACACUAGUAUUUUCAAGAACUCAAGGGCACCCUAAAAAGUGCUCCAAAAUUAUUUGAUACAUUUUUUAUUCUAUCCUGUUCUCCCUAAACAUCAGCAGUCAAAAUGAAUCACAAAAUAUUUUGUCAUAUAAUUUACUACUUUUUUUCUUUAACUUUAAAAAAAAGCACUACUUUCAAAACGAUAGUUAUUUUGUACUUUGUGAGGAAAUUCUCCAGGUAUUUAUAUUGUUUUCUGUGUCCUAGGAAGGAAAAUCCCCUCGACAGUGUCUGAAGGAAGGAAACUGCAAAGCUUUGAAAUACUCAUUUUUUGAAUGUAAAAGAUCAAUGGUAAGAGGCUAUAUAGCUUUUGCAAAGCUUAUGCUAAAAAUUUUAGGUAUGCUAAAAAUUAAGUAUGUGAAUGACCUAGCAAUUACAUAUAUGUUGCAAGUGAGAUCAUUCAGAAAAAAGAAUGUGGAUAAUAUUAUUUAUUACUUCUACUUUGACACUAGAAAGCGCCAUCUAGGGAACUCCUGAGUGGACUAAUAGAUUCGUACAGCCUUUGUCCAAGAGUGAUUCACUAUUAGUGCUCUAAGAUGCCAAUUUGCCUUAUAUACUGACUUUAAAACCCUCUACGUACCCCACCACCCUUGGAAGAGGCUGCACUGUGAGCUUUAAGUCAAAGAACAUGUAGUCAUCCUAUGAGUAGAUACUUUAAACAUUUUUAAUCCCUAAAUGUUAGGUGUGAUUUACUGUUUAAAGAUUUCAAAUACAUUUCAAUGUUCAUUUUGAGUUUAUUUUUAAAUUUUUUUUAACGUUUAUUCAUUUUUGAUGGAGACAAAGUGCAAGUAGGGGAGGGGCAGAGAGAGAGGGAGACACAGAAUUUGAAGCAGGCUCUGGGCUGAGCUGUCAGCCCAGAGCCAGCCCAGAGCCUGAUGCAGGGCUCGAACCCACCAACCACAAGAUCGUGACCUGAGCCAAAGUCCGACACUUAACAGACUGAGCCACCUAGGCGCCCCUUGGGUUUAUUUUUGCGUACGGUAUAAGAAAGUGGUCUAGGUUCAUGCUUCUGCAUGUUGCUGUCCAGUUUUUCGAACACCAUUUGCUGAAGAGACCAUCUUUUUUCCAUUGGUGAUUCUUUCCUGCUUUGUGGAAGAUCAGUUGGCCAUACGUUUGUGGGUCCAUUUCUGAGUUCUCCAUUCUGUUCCAUUGAUCUUUGUGUCUGUUUUUGUGCUAGUACCAUACUGUCUUGAUGAUUACAGCUUUGUAAUACAGCUUGAAGUCAGAAUUGUGAUGUGCCUUGGUUUUCUUUCUCAACAUUACUUUGGCUAUUCAGGGUCUCUUCUGAUUCCAUACAAAUUUUAGAAUUGUUUGUUCUAGCUCUGUGAAGAAUGUUGGUGUUAUUUUGAUAGGGAUCGCAUUGAAUAUAUAGAUUGCUUGCGUAGUUAUCGACAUUGUAACAAUAUUUGUUCUUCCAGUCCAUGAGCAUGGAAUGUUUUUCCAUUGUUUUGUGUCUUCUUCAGUUUCUUUCAUAAGCUUUCUAUAGUUUUGAGUGUACAAAUUUUUCACCUCUUUGGUUAGGUUUAUUCCUAUGUAUUUUAUGUUUUUUUGGUGCAGUUCAAGUACAUCUGAAUAUUAACCCAAACAAAACUUAAUAAAAAAAAAUUAAGUUUGCUAGAAGCACACAUAUUGAGUAUAGCUGAGGGAAAAAUAUAAAUAUAAUUCGGAUUCUACUUGAGAAGAAAAUCCUUAUUGGGACCUUAAAUGGAACUUUUGUUUUUAAUGCCAUCUUUAUUAUUUUUUUUUCUUGGUAGCUCUGACAAUUGUCUUUUUGACUGUGCUGGAAACUGGUUUACUUCUGUCACAGAUUGAGACCACUUACCAAAGCUGUGUUUAAUUGUGUUGUACAAAAUCUGAUUUAAUUAUAUGUUUAUUUUCAGUUGGAUGCCAGAUCAAGAUUCCGAGGAAGAAAAGGAUAUUGACGCCAAUAUGCUGAAACCAAAAUGAAAACAAUAAAGGAUUUUCUCUGAUCACUUAAAACAGAGAAGCCAAAAUAGGAGACAGACUUGCUGUAUCUGAUGGGUUAGACCAGUAUUUCCCUCCACAAACACUGGAGAAAAUGGAUGAGUUCUGUUUUUGAAUAUGUAUAAAGUAAAUGAUCCUUCCUCUAAGUUAUUUUUGAAAGAAAAAUAUAAUCGAACAGCUAUGAGCUGAGAGCAACAUAAUGUGUAUUGAGAAUUGUUCUAAACCACAAAAAGUGGAAAGAUUGUUAUUUUCCAACUUGACUCUUCGACCAGAUGACUCGGUACAUCCUUUGUGAAUAUUAUGAAGGCCACUGAUGGGACUGUUAAAAUUGAUAACAUUCAGUGUGGGGAGAAAAUGUCUAUUGGGAAAGCUUUGGAUAAAGAUUUCUUUUACUCAAUCUGUCCUAUUUAGUUCUAAAAAUGUAUUUGAUUCCUUGGAGGAGAAAUGCUUCAUUUGCACUGAUUCACUAGAGUAACAACCUCACAACUUUAAUAUUAAUAUCAUACAGUAGGCGUAGCUGGAUACAAACCUCUGAUUGUUGCCAGGGCUCUUGUCCUCCAUUUCGGGACUGUUUUUCUCGUUUCGGGCUUCAUUUUCAGGCUGGUCCUCUCUCACAUAAUGGGGAAGAGGCCUGGCAGCCAAAAGUGCACAUCCUUAAGUCCAUGAUCCAAAAGAAAGAGCUAACCUUUUCUAGGGUCCACUAAUCAAAUCCUACAAAAGGACUGUUGUCUUCCCUGGAUCACUUGCCCCUGAAUUAGACCAGUCCCUGUGGAGAAAGGGAUGAGGCCACGUGAUUUUGGCCUGGCCUGGGUCUUACACACGGUAAUGGGUCACCCCCAACAGAAGCACAUUGGAUGAGUGAUGGGCCUUAUCCCAAAAGAAAAGGAUUCAGAGAAAACUGAAACAAUAGAUGUUCAUAGAGAAAGCAUGAGCGAAAACCAGGAAAUGCUUGAAAAAGUUUAGAAUCACAGUAAUUCUGAUCACUUAAUACAAUCAAGAGCCAAAUAUAAAUCCAAGUUUCAACUCUCUUUUCAGUGGUGAAGAAUAAAUGAAGAAGCAUAGCUUCUUUAUGUGGCCAUGGUUCUUUGCAGUUCAAGCAAUCAAGGUGUUCUAUAGCUCAACUGGUUUUUUAAAGGUUCGCCUAAAGUGAGAAUUCCACACUGGUCCCCAUUGCAGAGUAUCACUGAGGUCUGCUGUUGUGUUUGUGUGGUACUGCUUUUCACUGGAAAAGGGAAAAAUAUUUUUUUUCCCUGUUUAAGUGCUCCAACUUUUAUUAAAAGAACUUUGAUAAGAAACUCCAGAAUUAUUUUAUAGAACCCUCUUUUUGUAGUAACAGCUUGAAAGCUUCAUUUAGAGAAAUUCACAUUCCAUAGAUUCAUGCUUAAAGCAUACAAUUUUGUUUUUUGGAGUAUAGUCACAAGUUUGUGCAACCAUCAUCGCCAUCUAAUUCCUGAACAUUCUCAAGGGAAACCCCAUACCCAUUAGCAGUUACUCCCCAUCCCUCCUUUCCCCCCAAUUCCCAGCAACCACUAAUAUACUUUCUAUGUCCAUAGAUUUGCAUAUUCUGGGCAUGUCAUAAAAAUGGAGUUACGUGUUGGGGCGCCUGGGUGGCGCAGUCGGUUAAGCAUCCGACUUCAGCAAGGUCACGAUCUCGCGGUC